rnacentral:rRNA from 1 species
UAACGCGUGAGAAUCUGGCUCUAGGUUCGGGACAACCACUGGAAACGGUGGCUAAUACCGGAUGUGCCGAGAGGUGAAAGGUUAACUGCCUGGAGAUGAGCUCGCGUCUGAUUAGCUAGUUGGUGGUGUAAGGGACUACCAAGGCGACGAUCAGUAGCUGGUCUGAGAGGAUGAUCAGCCACACUGGAACUGAGACACGGUCCAGACUCCUACGGGAGGCAGCAGUGGGGAAUUUUCCGCAAUGGGCGAAAGCCUGACGGAGCAAUACCGCGUGAGGGAGGAAGGCUCUUGGGUUGUAAACCUCUUUUCUCAGGGAAUAAGCAAGUGAAGGUACCUGAGGAAUCAGCAUCGGCUAACUCCGUGCCAGCAGCCGCGGUAAUACGGAGGAUGCAAGCGUUAUCCGGAAUGAUUGGGCGUAAAGCGUCCGUAGGUAGCAGUGUGUGUCUAUUGUUAAAGAGUUUGGCUUAACCAAAUAAGGGCGGUAGAAACUACACAGCUAGAGUGCGUUCGGGGCAGAGGGAAUUCCUGGUGUAGCGGUGAAAUGCGUAGAGAUCAGGAAGAACACCGGUGGCGAAAGCGCUCUGCUAGGCCGCAACUGACACUGAGGGACGAAAGCUAGGGGAGCGAAUGGGAUUAGAUACCCCA